rnacentral:rRNA from 1 species
AACGAACGCUGGCGGCAGGCUUAACACAUGCAAGUCGAGCGCGUAGCAAUACGAGCGGCAGACGGGUGAGUAACACGUGGGGAUCUGCCCGAUGGUACGGAAUAACUCAGGGAAACUUGUGCUAAUACCGUAUGUGCCCGCAAGGGGAAAGAUUUAUCGCCAUCGGAUGAACCCGCGUCAGAUUAGCUAGUUGGUGUGGUAAAGGCGCACCAAGGCGACGAUCUGUAGCUGGUCUGAGAGGAUGAUCAGCCACACUGGGACUGAGACACGGCCCAGACUCCUACGGGAGGCAGCAGUGGGGAAUAUUGGACAAUGGGCGCAAGCCUGAUCCAGCCAUGCCGCGUGAGUGAUGAAGGCCUUAGGGUUGUAAAGCUCUUUCGCCGACGAAGAUAAUGACGGUAGUCGGAGAAGAAGCCCCGGCUAACUUCGUGCCAGCCGCCGCAGUAAGAC